CCUUUCCAAUUUGCUGCACUUUCGGGAGUUCGUUAUUCCCACGGGAAGCGAGGACCUCGUUGCCAUGGUGAUGUGAGCUUUCCAACCCAGAGACCCGCCCGGGAGGCACAAUCCUUCCUUGCGCGGCCCCGCCUGAACUCCCGGGCUAAGGGCGGCCUCGGUGGGCCCGCCCUGCCCUGUGGGAGAAGGGUUUUAGGCUCCAGAUUCUUUGGGCUGGAGGGAAGGGGGGACAUUAAUUAAGAACCCAAGGGAAGAAGGUAGGGGAAGGAAGACGAAUGGAUAAGAAGGUUGUUUUUUUUUACAAGCCACUCUGCCCUUUCCUCCCACCCACCGGGACUCUUCAGUCAAAAGCGGUCUCUGGAUCAGGAGCAUUUGGGUGGGGACGUCGGACACUCUGCUUUCCUCUCAACGUCUUCCAGGAACCCCGGGGCAUUUUUUAAAGGUUCUGGAACGUAGCUCACUGGAAUGAAGCUUUAACCUCUCCUGCCCCUCCAGCCUGGGACUGAAAAGAAGCGGGAGAGCGAGCGGGUCGGAGCGACCAGCCGAGCCCGGUAACGGUGGGUGGAAGGGAGGGCGACGCCUUCGGCGCCCUGCGCUGCGCCGCCCAACCUGGGACCCGGAUCACCGCGCAGGGAGCGGCCGGGGUCAGGUUAGUGGGACACCACUUUGUUGCCGUCACCUCUACCCACAUCGUGCUUGGGACAGCAAGGGUAUGGCAGUGCAAUGCCGUAAAUCCCAAAUAUCUGUGAGAUGAGUAAAUGAGUGAAUAAGUGAAUAAUUAAAGAAGAUCUGUGCUAAGAAAAGGCAUCCCAAGGUUGGCAUUGUGAGGGCAGCUGGAGCAGACAGUGGCUAAGGCUGCCUCUGAGCUUAACAUCUCUCCUUCCACUGGACGCAGGUCAGGGAGGACAUCCAGUUCGCCAGUCAUCUGUCAAAAGAGAUCCCCUUUCUGUCCUUUCCCUCGAGCUCUCUGAGAAACAUCACACCAUCUCCAUGGUGGUGGAUCUCUGCUUCUCCAAACCUCAGGGAAGAUAGUUCUCUCCAGUAGCCAACUCAGCUCCCUCUAACUGCAGUUUCAAUGAGUCCGUCUGCCUGCUCUGUCAAUGCCAACGGCUCUUCUCAGGGUCAGGGUAAAACAUCGUGAAAGCCAGCCCGGGAUGAAAGUCCACAGAAGGACUUGGUGGGGAGGAGGGGAGAGGCAUGUGCAGAAACACCGUUCAAGGUGAUGGGGAUCUGCAAGAGGCAGAGAGGGGCCCCAGGGAUUCACGCGGGAAGAGUAAUUACAUGCAACACAACAGCUCUCCGGGCCAGCAUCACUGCCCAGAGCGUGGCCCUGAACGAAGGUGGAUUGCUUCAAUUAUCUGGGCAUCUUGAUGAAUGGGCCCUGCACAUGCUCUGGGGAAGAUGGAAGGAAACUAGCCACAGAUUAAUCACUCGUGGCAUCACUGAAUGGACGGUGUUUAGAGCCUGUGAGCACCACGGGCACAACAGGUUCACAAAAGCAGAGAGGGAAACGGAAAGCAGUCAGGCCGUGAUUAGAAAAGAAAAGGGGAGGAAGCAAAUAUAACAUUAAGACUCCUCUUUUGGGGGCUAAUUUGCAUAAAGAUAGUGGCUAUUGAAGUAGCCCAAGUAGGACUGGACAGUGGAGUAUAGUCCUGGAAUUGCCUGGCCUAAAGUGCAGCCAGGAGCUGGGGCCCUAAAUGUGACCCUGAACCAGAGAAGGGGGGUCUCAGACGCCAAAGGAGGGAGAGGCGAGGGAAGGAGACAAGAACUGCUGACACCAACCCAGGAAAGGUUUCCAGAGAAGAUGAAGCCAUGUGCCGUUCCAGCCUCUUCUAGGACUUUCACAGUAUGCACCAUUAGCGGGGUCUCAGUGCUUCUUUGCCCCAGAUUACUAUGGGGUAUGUGUGUAUUUAAAUAAAGAGAAUUAUUUUUCCCUUGAGAAAUAUCUGAUUGUGUGUGUCCAGCAUUCAACAUAUGGUAUAUCAUAAAUGUUUGUUGAAUGAUUGAAUAAAAAUAGCGUUUGUUACACUUCUCCCGUGUCAGACAAUAUGCUAAGUGCUUUACACAAAUAAAUUUAAUGUAAUUCACACAAUCUUCCUAUGAGGUGUUUUUCAAUUCCUCUUUUAGGGAUUGAAAAAAAAAAAAAACCUGACGCUCAAAUAAGUGAAGUAACUUGUUUAGCUAGUGAUGGUAUGUUGGAUGGAAGAAAAGAAAGGCGAGUGGGGCACAUGUGAGACGAGGGGAGAUUCAGAGAGAGAGCCGGGGUGGGGGUGGGGAGGAGAGGGAGAGGGAGGGUGGAAGGGACAUCUCCCGAAAGGCUGUGAGGAGUCUCAGAGAAUUUCUUUUGAAAAUCAUCUGACUUAACCAAAAUGUGCCUGGCAUGCGGAUCCACUUUAAUUCGUCUUUAGCAUCAGGUGUUGAGUCCUGUGAAGAGCUGUGAAAACUAGCACUGCCUCACGUGGGACUGAAAGAAAAUAAACCGACAGGGCAGGAUUUUCAAUGAACUUACAACCUAUGACAGAAGCGACCCCAGCUCUUUGGGCCGCUGGCUCCUGAAGCCUUUGGCUACUGCACACAGACAACAGGACAGAGGGGGACCGGUGUGUCCUUUGUCCAGCAUCCUGGUUGUCGAGACAUGAUUCUGUGAACCUCACACAAGGUUCUAUUCAGGAUAAUAACAAUAAGAACUGUUGAGUGACUGAAGGGAGACGUGAAUAAGAAAAGAAAAGUCAGAUGACCUCACAAAUGUGCACACUAAACGAUCUGCCUCAGGUGCAGGGAGACAGGACACGAUUUGGACUCUGAGCUACCUAGCAGCCUAAGCAAUGAAGGAAAUAAUGAAUUGCCACGAUAUCCAUGGGACAAAAAUAAACCAUGGUUUAGAGCACCAUGUGGUAUUACUAUCAGUGGGUUUCAUGUUUAUGUCCCUGGACUCCACACUGGACAUUCCAAACCUACAGCAGCAGUAGUCUCUGAGGGCAGGACCGCAAAGGCAUCACAAGGCCCUGCUGCAUGGAAAGGGCCAUCCUGCCUCCUACCAUUGCUGCCACUUCCUUGGAGCCAAACCCCAGAGUAAGAGGAGCCUCAGUGGGCUUCAAUGCUGCCCAGGGACACCGCUCUUGGGAGCUUUGUUCCCAACUGGAAGCUGCAGCUGUCCUGAGCCUGAGUUUCCAGCCUCCAGCCAGGGAUGGAGCGUUCAGUAACCUGGGAGAAAGCCCCGACAUCCAGGGAAUAACCCAAAGGGAACAGGUAGAAAAUGGUGAAUGCCUCUGAGGUAUUGGAAAGUGCAAAUCACAGGACAGGACGGGAGCCAUCAAAGGCUGUCCUGUCAGCUCGCUUCAGGAGGCCGGGACAAGAAAGGGAAUCCCUCAGGGCCGGUUCCAAUGUCAGAUCAUGGCCCUGGUGGGGGUCCUACAGAUGCUACAAGUCAGAUUGUAACUUUGAUUCAAUUACCAUGGGCUGAACACUCUUUAUACACCUGGGACUGCUGGGGGAGCCACGUGUUCCAGCUCAAUGCAUCCCCGCUCUCAACUCCGAGGCGGGCAUUUUUAUGAUUCACGUUUUCAGAGUAGGAAACUGAGGCUCAGAGAGGCAGAGGCCUGAGAAACUCACAUCCACUGGUGUUAUGUCACUGCGGCUCCUGCUGCUGCUUCUCUAAGGCCACUCAUCAGAACUCUCCAUUUCCCGGGCUGGUAAGGACAAGCUCAGCUGUGACUGCGUGUACAGUCCUCUUCCAGUGCACGACAAGGCUUGACAAGUCAUAAACGGACCUUUUGAACAAUACAAAAAAAUGAGAUUGCUAGAUCAUGAAAGUGCAACGGAAUGCAGCUCAGAGAUUGCCUGUUGGACGCAGAGAGCUGACAGUCUAGAACGGAGAGUCCAUCCUGAAAGAACACGGUACCGUGAGAGCCCCCAGAACGUCUAUUUCUUCAUCUGUAAAAUGGGGUGUGAGAUUUACUGAAUUUUAUUUUAUUUAAUACAUUUUUAUUGAAUAAAUUUUAUUUAAUACUGUU